rnacentral:lncRNA from 1 species
ACAAGUUGUCGUAUUACGUGAAGACUUGCUUGAGAAUGCACCGAGCACUUGACUGUGGAAUGUAAAAAAAAAUUGUAACAAAAGGUCCUAACAAUCCAAUAGGAUUAUAGAGAAUUUACAAUUAAAUGUUAACAAUCAUAAUCAAACAUUAAGCAAGCUCAAUUAAAUUUUAUUGAAGUUAUAAAAGAAACACAAAGAAAUCGUAAAGAAAUAUAAAAAAAUAUUAAAGAAAACUUCGUCAAACCCUAACAAAAAUCUAAUAAAAUCUUAAAUUCUAACCAACCCCUAAUCCUAAUCCAACCUUAAUCAAAUCCUAGACAAACCCUAAAUCCUAAACCAAAUCCUAAUCAAAUCUUAAUCAAAUCCUAAACCUUAAACCAAUUCCUAAUCAAAUCCUAAAUCAAAUCCUAAAUCAAACUCUAAAUUCUAAAUCCUAAACCAAAUCCUAACCAAAUCCUAAUCCUAAACCCUAAUCAAAUUCUAACCCAAACCUAACCCUAAUCACAAAUUUGAAAAUUAAAUAACUAAAGAUUAAACUAUUGAUUCUUAUUAAAAAUUUGCACACUUUUUGGAAUUUAAGUUAGAAACCAGCACACAAAUUUUGAAGAAAAUCGCACUUAUCAAUUAUUCAAUGACCUCAAAAUUCCGCUCGGAUAUCGGCUGGUGUCUCCUUCUCCAAUCUUCAUGCCAACUUCUAGCAUUGAUAUCUCCCUUUUCCACCGUUCGAUUGCUUCCAAAUUUUACUUGCAUAUAGGAAAUCAAGUCUUCUACUGAUAAAACCAAAAAUCUCUCCAAUCCAUUUGAUAGAUUGCUAGAUAUCUAAGAAAACCUUACUGGUCUUCAAAACCCUAAAUCUCGAGACCUUAGCCCAUAAAAACCUUCAUAUGUAUCGAUCUAGCUAUUCGAUUGACCUCAAAUCUCUUACACACAUUUAUAACAAGGAUAAUAAUAAGUCUCUUAAUUUUCACCUGUAAAAAUGCUACAAAAGACACAAAAUCCAAAAAUUUAUAACUGGUUUUAUUUCUCAAAGAUCUGAAUUCACAGAGAACAUCACUCUUUUUGAAAAUCCCUCAAAAAUCCAAUACUGAUUUAAAAGACACGAAAUUACCUCUAAAAAAUCCCUCCAUAAGUCUUCUCUCUAAUUCAGCUCUCCGAUCUUCCAAAGAGCUCUUGAGUCGCUCUCAAAGCACGGUUUUGUGCCUUGGGGUCUGAUUUCGACCCAGGUUCAUAACCGGUCCUCUUCGGGUAUCAACUUUCGUCUUCUGGAGGUAAUAAUUUACUAAUUUGCACUCCUAACUCCUC